CUGUGCCCAAGGAUCGAUCGUGCGUUGUUGAAAUAGAGUUCAGUAGCUUGACGAAGCUGAAAAAGAACAGACGCUUUAUUAAAAAGAACUAAACUUGAAUUCAAGAUGAGUGGCCGACAAGUGGACAACUGGAAUGGUGGCCAAGGACAUCAAUUUCAGUACCAACAUACAACUUAUUCCAACCAAGUCGCUAAUCCGAGCGGAGUGACCUCCAGGCAAAUCCAAGCCAACAAUCGCCGGGCUGCUGUUGAAAUCCAGCAUAUCACUCGUGCGUUGUCCAACAAUGGUCAACCCAACAGUGUAACCUUCAACUACGUUAACGUCAACCAUAGAUAUGCCAAAAAGUAAUAUCUAUUUGGGAAGCAACUUGAUGUUUUUUAAUUUCCUUAAUUCGUUUCAAUUUCCAAGUUGCAAAAUAAAUAAAUAAAAGGAAACGAAUCUGUAAAAAAAA